AUGAUACUCAUCGGUUUGGCAGGAAGAAACACUCCAGUGCCACGUGGCUUAACUCGUCCUUUGCUGGCAUCAUCACUACUUGGCUUCUUUAUGGAACCAUAGUGGUUCAAGGCGUGCCACAUCCUUGGCUUCCUAUCAUGAAUAAAAACCUGUGGAAAUGGACCGGUGUAAUCAAGAAAGAUCUCAUUGAAAAGGGUUGAAGGUAGGAGAAACAAUACUUCCUCCGCACGCAACACAACCUCUCCUUUGCAAGACAUGUUGCUUUUUAUUGGGAUACAAUUUCAGAGACUACUACAGAACUUCAUCCAAUCUCUUCCUAUAUAUAUGUUACUUAGCUCAAGGGUCGGGUCGAGUUAGGUGAACCCUCUCAUUGUAGAGUGGUGGUGGUUGUUGCAGAAGUAUGUAUGUGGCUUCUCUAUGGUAUAGUUAGGCUUAAACCAUAAACACUAGAUUUGGUUGGUUAUGCAACAUUCGUCUAACCCACCACACCAACCCUUGUCCAUUGUUCCUUCUAUUUGAGUUUGACCACCAAACACCAUAUAUUAUAUAUUUUAUUAGUGGUUGACCUAAAAUAGGAGAUUAUUAAACAGUGACACAAAUCAUAUUGUCACUUGGUAAUGUUAAUUUUUGUCUGUCAUCUUGAACUUGACAAUCAUAUUGUAGCUUUUACUUGGACAAUCAUGAGCACAUAUAACCUUGAAAAACUGGUUAUGCCGCGUAGGAGUUUCCAAUUCGGUUAAUUCGGCUUAUGAAAUGUAGAAACCGAAUGUUAUUGGUUUAGUUCUGGUUUGAUUUAGAUCGGUGAAACCGGAUUUAGCAAUUCUAGUUGUGCGUGCAUAAACCGGAUCUUGUGAAACCCCUAAACAAGUUUAUUAUCUUUUUGUGUUUCCUCACGCUCGUCAUCGUUAAUUUCGCUGAUGGGGACAAAAGAUUCACACUCGUCUCGUCGAACAUUCGAAAAAAAGUGAACGUUUUUGUCGGAUCCGUCCUUGCUUUGGGGGGGAUGAUACGCUACGCCGUGAGAUAUGCCCACCACCUGUUCGACGAAUUUCCACCUGAAAUGUUGGAUGAUUACGUGGAGUCUGGAGAAACUUACAUGAAAAAGCGAGAUCCCUGCUCAAGCUUGAUGAAUCUGGCAGCUCAGAAAUUGUGAUGGCCUUCACCGUAUGAAGUGUUCUGGUUAAAAGACGUAUUGAAAUUGGACGUGAUGCAGCGGUAUGCUAUUCCUUUUCUUUGUAUUAUGUGCUCAAUGAUGAAACUUAACUUGUUUAAGUUUUCUUUCUCUCUUGCUGAAAUGAAAGAGGAACAUAUUCUCUGCAGUUGUAGGACAAUAACUAUAAAAACAUCUAGGAUUAAAUCGAGAUUAUAUUCUAAACAAUUUUAUGCAGGCCUUUAGAACAUUUGUGUUACAAAAAGUCAAUGGGGCAUUCCGAGAAUCGAACUCGGGACCUCUCGCACCCAAAGCGAGAAUCAUACCACUAGACCAAAUGCCCGGUGUUGAUUUAGUUCCAUUAGCAUCCUUUUAGAUCUAGUUCUAUAAUUUGACUUUCAAGGAUUGAUAGUAAAAUUUGAUUGUCUAUAAUUCAUUAUUGAUGAAAUGUUAGCUGGCAUUUUAAACAUUUCCGUUGCAAAAAGUCAAUGGGGCAUUCCGAGAAUCGGGACCUCUCGCACCCAAAGCGAGAAUCAUACUACUAGACCAAAUGCCCGUUGUUGAUUUAGUUCCAUUAGCAUCCUUUUAAAUCUAGUUCUAUAAGUUGACUUUCAAGGAUUGAUAGUAAAAUUGAUUGUAUAUAAUUCAUUAUUGAUGAAAUGUUAGCUGGCAUUUUAAACAUUUCCGUUGCAAAAAGUUAAUGGGGCAUUCCGAGAAUCGAACUCGGGACCUCUCGCACCCAAAGCGAGAAUCAUACCACUAGACCAAAUGCCCGGUGUUGAUUUAGUUCCAUUAGCAUCUUUUUAGAUCUAGUUCUAUAAGUUGACUUUCAAGGAUUGAUAGUAAAAUUUGAUUGUAUAUAAUUCAUUAUUGAUGAAAUGUUAGCUGACAUUUUAAACAUUUCUGUUGCAAAAAGUUAAUGGGGCAUUCCGAGAAUCGAACUCGGGACCUCUCGCACCCAAAGCGAGAAUCAUACCACUAGACCAAAUGUCCGGUGUUGAUUUUGUUGCAUUAAGCAUCAUUGUACGUGUUCUAUAAGUUGACUUUCAAGGCUUGAUAGUAAAAUUUGAUUGUAUAUAAUUCAUUAUUGACGAAAUGUUAGGUGGCAUUUUGAACAUUUUUUUUACAAAAAAAACUCAAAGGGGCAUUCCGAGAAUCGAACUCGGGACCUCUCGCACCCAAAGCGAGAAUCAUACCACUAGACCAAAUGCCCGGUGUUGAUUUAGUUCCAUUAAGCAUCAUUUUACUAGUUCUAUAAGUUGACUUUCAAGGCUUGAUAGUAAAAUUUUGAUUGUCUAUAAUUCAUUGUUGAUUAAAUGUUAGCUGGCAUUUUGAACAUUUCUUUUACAAAAAAUACAAAGGGGCAUUCCGAGAAUCGAAUUCGGGACCUCUCGCACCCAAAGCGAGAAUCAUACCACUAGACCAAAUGCCCGUGUUGAUUUAGGUUCAUUAAGCAUCAUUUUACUAGUUCUAUAAGUUGACUUUCAAGGCUUGAUAGUAAAAUUUGAUUAUGUAAUUCAUUAUUGAUGAAAUGUUAGCUGGCAUUUUGAACAUUUCUUUUGCAAAAAACUCAAAGGGGUAUUCCGAGAAUCACUCGGGACCUCUCGCACCCAAAGCGAGAAUCAUACCACUAGACCAAAUGCCCGGUUAUUGGUGUCUUUCACCUAACUUUAUCUGUGAUUCAUUGCCCUUGUCUUGGAAGAAUUCGUAGUUCUUCUUCCUCAACAAUACAAUGGAAAUGUAUAUUGUUAAGUGUCAUAUUAUUAAGAUGACUAGUUUCAGGUUUCUUGUAGAAUGUAGUUUUAAAGGAAAAUUUACCUGAUUUCAAGAACCAGCAUAGGUAGCUGUUGCAACCAGAGGGAAAAUCAUAUCCUUGAUAAUUGAAUGUGCUUUGUAGAUCAUGAAAAGUUUCAUUUCUUGAUUCUGUAUAUCACUGCAAUGUUCAUUGACAACUACAAAUAAUUUUUGCCCAAUUGCUUUGGUUUGAUAUGAAAAAUCUAGUUGAAUGCCAGUAUAAGUAUUGUCUCAUGUUUUCUCUAUGAAUCUUUAGAAGGGAGGUAUUUUGUGGUUGAAUUGAUUGCUAAGUUAAAAACUUAAAAUGGGUAAGGGUCUUGUCCUUUUGUUUGUUGCCAUUUUAAAGUCAUUGUUUAAGUGGCGUUUCUAAUUUAGUGCCCCUGAAAUGCGAGGGCAGUCAUUAAUGUUCUUUGAUUCAUUGCUGAAGCUCAUUAAUUAAUCGCAGUGAUUCCAUAUUUUCAUGCAAAGUUAUGCUACCGUAUGAAACUGGUUUUUUUAGUUUGCCUUCAAACAUUUUUCAUUAAAAGUCUUAAGAGUAAUUCCAAUAGGAGUAUUUCAUAUAAUUUCUCAUCAUUACAUUAAAAAUACGGAUAUAGUCCAGAAAAAAAUUGGUCAUUUGUUGAAACCUAGAUGCCUAACUUUUGUGUUGAUCAUAUCGCUAUAUUAAUCUUUUGGUUAUUAACUAUUUAUGAUAAUCCUAGAAGUCAAUAAUUCCUGCCAAAUUACUGUUAUACGAUGGAAAUUAUUCUAGAUGCCUAACUAUUCCUCUUGAAGGUUUGUUCUUCAUAUAGCUGGCAACAUACAGUUAGUUUAAGUUCAAACUCUUUUAUUUAAUUCAUGAAUCUGGUGAGAAUUAUUUUACUUUUAGAUAAUUAAAAAGAAUGCUACAAUUCAGAUCUAGAUCUAUUAGUUGACUUUAUAAGGCUUAGUAGCAAAGGUGGAUUGUCUUUAAUUGAAUAUUGUUGAAAUGUAUACGUAGUCUAAUAAUUUAGUCCGAACAGGAAAUUCUUAGAUCUAUAUAUGAGAGACUUCUUCCAACUGAAUUUCAGAACAUGAUUACUUGCAUUUUUUUAGAAACUGAAUUUUGGUUUGCAAUGGAAGAACACAUGUACAUAAUCAUUAGAAGAGGAUAAUCAACUUGUCCUAAAUUUUUCAGUUGGCUGUUUACAUCCAUUAUUUGAAAGCUCUCCUUAGUUGGAUUGCUUAUGAUCUUGUUUGUCUUAUCUUUUGACUGGAUUCCAAAUGUUUGGUUACUGACCAUUACCGCAUACAAUAUGCCAAAAGAACUCAUUUAAAAGUAAAAUAAAGAACCAUCUUUAGUCAUACAUAUUUCAGUUCUGUUUUAACACAUUCACCAAGAAAAAAAUAAUGAGGCAUUCCGAGAUCGAACUCGGGACCUCUCGCAUCCAAAAUGAGAAUCAUACCACUAGACCAAAUGCCCUGUUAUUGAUGUUAUCCACUACAAGCAUUAGAAUCUUUGAGUUGAAACCAUGCUGUUAGGAUCUGCUUGAAUCUGUAGUUUCAGAUGUAAAUAUAAUUAUUGCUGCUUGAUAUCAUCAGUACUUUUUGAGGCCUUAUGCUAGUUGUUCCUCAUUGAAUAUUUCUCUGGAGGAGUUGUUUUUUUAUUUGCAUUUGGAUUUGUAGCAUCUUUUAGUGUAAGUCCUCUGAUCCGGAUCUUGAUGAAUCUGGUACCUUACGAAAUGCAUGACGGUUUUCACUGCUUGAAACUUACUUGUUAAAAGGACUUAUAUAAUGAACGUGAAACAUUGCCUUGUUGAUAUCACCAGUUAGUGCAUAGCUGUUCUUCAAACUGGAAUACUGGUUUUAGGCUGUGUUCUUUUAGUUAUCUCUUGAAGAAGUUGCAGCUAGCGAUGUUCUCUGUAUAACAUGCGCUCCAGAAAAUGUUUUCUUUCGGAAAGCCAAGUGUGUGCUACCAUGAAUUUUUUUUCUAGUUUACUGUCGCUAGAAACUGAAGGGAAAUGAAUGCAUAGUUAUUGAACACGAGCUGUUGACAACUGAUGCAGCAA